AUACUCAGAAAGCUCAGUGGAUUAGAGCGUGGUGCUGAUAACGCCAAGGUUGCAGGUUCGAUCCCUGCGUGUAUA